CCCUUAGAUGUUCUGGGCUGCACGCGUGCUACAAUGGCGUUUCCAGCAAGUCUGCGAACCCGAGAGGGCCAGCGGAUCUUCGAAUUGGCGUCGUGAUCGGGACAGUCGAUUGCAAUUAUUUGACUCAAACGAGGAAUUCCUUGUAAUCGCGAUUCAUCAUAUCGCGCUGAAUACGUCCCUGCCCUUUGUACACACCGCCCGUCGCUCCUACCGAUUGAGCGAUCCGGUAAAUGUUUUGGAUUGGUGCCGGGGCGGCUAGCUGCCGGUCGCUACGAAAUUUUGUGAACCUUAUCGCUUAGAGGAAGGAAAAGUCGUAGCA
rnacentral:rRNA from 1 species